rnacentral:rRNA from 1 species
UACGUAGGGUGCGAGCGUUGCCCGGAUUUAUUGGGCGUAAAGGGCGCGUAGGCGGCCCGGCGCGUCAUGCGUGAAAUCUCCCGGCUCAACUGGGAGGGGUCGUGUGAUACGGUCGGGCUGGAGCAAGGUAGGGGGCAGUGGAAUUCCCGGUGUAGUGGUGGAAUGCGUAGAUAUCGGGAGGAACACCAGUGGCGAAGGCGGCUGCCUGGACCUGUGCUGACGCUGAUGCGCGAAAGCCAGGGGAGCGAACGGG